GCGCUCAUAGCUCAACUGGAUAGAGUGUCUGACUACGAAUCAGAAGGUUAGGGGUUCGAGUCCCUUUGGGCGCACCA
rnacentral:tRNA from 200 species